rnacentral:rRNA from 1 species
GAUAAACGCUGGCGGCGUGCCUAACCCAUGCAAGUCGAACGAUCUCGCAAGAGAGAGUGGCGAACGAGUGAGUAACACGUAGGAAUCUGCCCCUUCGGAGGGAAUAACUGAUCGAAAGAUUAGCUAAUACCCAAAAGGCUCAGCAAUGAGCAGAGUCGAAAGGCCUGAAGGGAGGAGCCUGCGGCCCAUCAGCUAGUUGGUGAGGUAAAAGCCCACCAAGCCUGCGAUCAGUAGCUGGUCUGAGAGGAUGAUCAGCCACACUGGAACUGAGACACGGUCCAGACUCCUACGGGAGGCAGCAGUAAGGAAUAUUGCUCAAUGGCCGAAAGGCUGAAGCAGCAACGCCGCGUGGAGGAUGAAAUACUUUUGUAUGUAAACUCCUGUAAGAAGGGAAAAUAUUCCGAUUUAUCGGGAUUGAUUGUACCUUCAGAGUAAGCCCCGGCUAACUACGUG